AUAUCAAUAAGCGGAGGAAAAGAAACCAACAGGGAUUGCCCUAGUAACGGCGAGUGAAGCGGCAACAGCUCAAAUUUGAAAUCUGGCUCUCGGGCCCGAGUUGUAAUUUGUAGAGGAUACUUUUGAUGCGGUGCCUUCCGAGUUCCCUGGAACGGGACGCCAUAGAGGGUGAGAGCCCCGUCUGGUUGGAUGCCAAAUCUCUGUAAAGUUCCUUCAACGAGUCGAGUAGUUUGGGAAUGCUGCUCUAAAUGGGAGGUAUAUGUCUUCUAAAGCUAAAUACCGGCCAGAGACCGAUAGCGCACAAGUAGAGUGAUCGAAAGAUGAAAAGCACUUUGAAAAGAGAGUUAAAAAGUACGUGAAAUUGUUGAAAGGGAAGCGUUUAUGACCAGACUUGGGCUUGGUUAAUCAUCUGGGGUUCUCCCCAGUGCACUUUUCCAGUCCAGGCCAGCAUCAGUUUUCCCCGGGAGAUAAAGGCGGCGGGAAUGUGGCUCUCUUCGGGGAGUGUUAUAGCCCACCGUGUAAUACCCUGGGGGGGACUGAGGUUCGCGCAUCUGCAAGGAUGCUGGCGUAAUGGUCAUCAACG
rnacentral:rRNA from 1 species